UUAACUCAAAUUUGUAUGUAGUUGGAACGUUUGCCUAGGUUUGCCACUAAGGGCGCUGUUCCAACUCUAAGCAAAUUCGAAUUA
rfam:Bombyx mori DNA, contig: Bm_scaf79_contig32633, strain: p50T/Dazao, build 2, whole genome shotgun sequence.